rnacentral:lncRNA from 1 species
GCUGUAUCUAUGGGGCUGUAUCUAUGGGGCUGUAUCUAUGGGGGUUGUGUGUCUCUAUGGGGCUGUAUCUAUGGGGCUGGUUAUGGGGUUUUGCUGUCUCUAUGGGGUGUAUCUAUGGGGUUUUGCUUUAUAUCUAUGGGGUUUGCUGUAUCUAUGGGGUGUAUCUAUGGGGUUUGCUGUAUCUAUGGGGCUGUAUCUAUGGGGUUUUGCUGUAUCUAUGGGGCCGUAUCUAUGGGGCUGUAUCUAUGGGGCUGUAUCUAUGGGGCUGUAUCUAUGGGGCUGUAUCUAUGGGGCCGUAUCUAUGGGGUGUAUCUAUGGGGUUUUGCUGUCUCUAUGGGGCUGUCUCUAUGGGGCUGUAUCUAUGGGGCUGUAUCUAUGGGGUUUUUGUGUCUCUAUGGGGCUGUAUCUAUGGGGUUUUGCUGUAUCUAUGGGGCUGUUUAUGGGGUUUUGCUGUAUCUAUGGGGUUUUGCUGUAUAUCUAUGGGGUUUUUGUGUCUCUAUGGGGUUUAUCUAUGGGGUUUUUCUGUCUCUAUGGGGCUGUUUAUGGGGCUGGUUCUGUCUCUAUGGGGCUGUAUCUAUGGGGCUGGUUAUGGGGUUUUUGUGUCUCUAUGGGGCUGGUUAUGGGGUUUUUGUGUCUAUGGGGCUGGUUAUGGGGUUUUUCUGUCUCUAUGGGGCUGUAUCUAUGGGGUUUUGCUGUAUAUCUAUGGGGUUUUGCUGUAUCUAUGGGGUUUUGCUGUGUAUCUAUGGGGUUUGCUGUAUCUAUGGGGCUGUAUCUAUCUAUGGGGCUGUAUCUAUGGGGUUUUGUUUUAUCUAUGGGGUUUGCUGUAUCUAUGGGGUUUUGCUGUAUCUAUGGGGCUGUAUCUAUGGGGUUUGCUGUAUCUAUGGGGUUUUGCUGUAUCUAUGGGGCUGUAUCUAUGGGGCUGUAUCUAUGGGGUUUUGCUGUAUAUCUAUGGGGUUUUGCUGUAUAUCUAUGGGGUUUUGCUGUAUCUAUGGGGCUGGUUAUGGGGUUUUGCUGUAUAUCUAUGGGGGAUUGCUGUAUCUAUGGGGCUGUAUCUAUGGGGUAUUAUUGUCUCUAUGGGGCUGGUUAUGGGGUUUUGCUGUAUCUAUGGGGUGUAUCUAUGGGGUUUUGCUGUAUAUCUAUGGGGUUUUGCUGUAUCUAUGGGGCUGUAUCUAUGGGGCUGUAUCUAUGGGGCUGUAUCUAUGGGGUUUUUGUGUCUCUAUGGGGCUGGUUAUGGGGUUUAUCUAUGGGGUAUUAUUGUCUCUAUGGGGCUGUAUCUAUGGGGCUGGUUAUGGGGUAUUAUUGUCUCUAUGGGGCUGUAUCUAUGGGGUGUAUCUAUGGGGCUGUAUCUAUGGGGCUGGUUAUGGGUUUUGCUGUAUAUCUAUGGGGUUUUGCUGUCUCUAUGGGGCUGUAUCUAUGGGGCUGUAUCUAUGGGGCUGUAUCUAUGGGGCUGGUUAUGGGGUAUUAUUGUCUCUAUGGGGUUUUGCUGUAUCUAUGGGGCUGGUUAUGGGGUUUGCUGUAUAUCUAUGGGGUUUUGCUGUAUAUCUAUGGGGUAUUAUUGUCUCUAUGGGGCUGGUUAUGGGGUAUUAUUGUCUCUAUGGGGCUGUAUCUAUGGGGUUUUAUUGUCUCUAUGGGGCUGGUUAUGGGGUUUAUCUAUGGGGUAUUAUUGUCUCUAUGGGGCAGACAUCGACGAAUGUUCCCGUGCCGACGUUUGUGGGGACGGCGGCAGCUGCACCAACAUCCCGGGACAUUUCAGCUGUGAAU